GUGAAAUAAAUCACAUAACAAACAUACACCCCUUUGUUUGAACGUGAACAUUUCUCCCAUCCCCUUUAAGAGGCGUCAGUCGAUGACGUCUCUUU
rnacentral:sRNA from 24 species